CCCUUAGAUGUCCUGGGCCGCACGCGCGUUACACUGAUGCAUUCAACGAGCUUAUAACCUUGGCCGAGAGGCCUGGGCAAUCUUGUUAACGUGCAUCGUGAUAGGGAUAGAUUAUUGAAAUUAUUAAUCUUGAACGAGGAAUUCCUAGUAAACGCAGAUCAUCAAUCUGCAUUGAUUACGUCCCUGCCCUUUGUACACACCGCCCGUCGCACCUACCGAUUGGAUGGUCCGGUGAACUGUUCGGCCAUAGCAAUGUUGCUUGAGCAGGGCAAUGAAUGUUUCGCAAACCUUGCCACUUAGAGGAAGGAGAAGUCGUAACA
rnacentral:rRNA from 1 species